UCCCUAAUGAUCUUCCAGGAAGAGGGU
rnacentral:piRNA from 1 species